rnacentral:rRNA from 1 species
UACGGGGGGGGCAAGCGUUGUUCGGAAUUACUGGGCGUAAAGGGCUCGUAGGCGGCCAACUAAGUCAGACGUGAAAUCCCUCGGCUUAACCGGGGAACUGCAUCUGAUACUGGAUGGCUUGAGUUUGGGAGAGGGAUGCGGAAUUCCAGGUGUAGCGGUGAAAUGCGUAGAUAUCAGGAGGAACACCGGUGGCGAAGGCGGGUCUCUGGGCCGAUACUGACGCUGAGGAGCGAAAGCGUGGGGAGCGAACAGG